UAUCUCUGUAGAGUCUGCAUAUCAAUAAGCGGAGGAAAAGAAACUAACUAGGAUUCCCUUAGUAACGGCGAGUGAAGCGGGAAGAGCUCAAAUUUGAAAUCUUCAAGGUUUUACCUUGACGAAUUGUAGUUUAAAGAAGUGUUUUCUGUUGGAGUUUUGGUAAAAGUUCUUUGGAAUAGGACAUCAUAGAGGGUGAGAAUCCCGUAUUUGACCGUUAUUUUCAGCUGUGUGAUACACUUUCAAAGAGUCGGAUUGUUUGGGAAUGCAGUCCAAAAUGGGUGGUAAAUUUCAUCUAAAGCUAAAUAUUGGCGAGAGACCGAUAGCGAACAAGUACCGUGAGGGAAAGAUGAAAAGAACUUUGAAAAGAGAGUUAAACAGUACGUGAAAUUGUCAAAAGGGAAGCGUUUGACACCAGUGUUGUUUUUCCGAAAAUCAAUUACGAAUGGCUUGAUUCUGUGUUGUAUUGACCUUAUCAGCUUUCUUCACUUUUUUCAUGUCUUUUUUAAUGCACUUUUCGCUUAACAAGUCAACAUCAGUUUCUUUUGUUGUAAAAAGGUCAUUGGAAGGUGGCUUUCUUUUCGGAGAAAGUGUUUAUAGCCUUUGACUUCUGCAAUCGGAGAGACUGAGGUCUGCAGCGUAGAUCCUUCUGGAUUAGAUUCAUUUGUGCUAAGUUACAACCGUUUAUAGACAACUUGUUGACUAUAUUCGAUCCUGUUAGCUUACUCGCUUAUGUAAUUUUACCUACGCUUAGGAUGUUGAAGAUGUAGCACAUCAU
rnacentral:rRNA from 1 species